CCCAGCAGCCAUACAACCUCAGGCUGUGAUCUUGUCAGAUCUCACAAACUAAGCAGGUUGGCAUUGGUUAGUAAUUGGCUAGGAGACCUCCAAGAAAAACCCAGGAUACCACUGGAA
rnacentral:rRNA from 1 species